rnacentral:rRNA from 1 species
CCUACGGGAGGCAGCAGUAGGGAAUAUUGCUCAAUGGGGGAAACCCUGAAGCAGCAACGCCGCGUGGAGGAUGAAGGUUUUCGGAUUGUAAACUUCUUUUGUUAGAGAAGAUAAUGACGGUAUCUAACGAAUAAGCACCGGCUAACUCCGGGCCAGCAGCCGCGGUAAUACGGAGGGUGCAAGCGUUACUCGGAAUCACUGGGCGGAAAGAGCGCGUAGGCGGGAUAGCAAGUCAGAUGUGAAAUCCUAUGGCUUAACCAUAGAACUGCAUUUGAAACUGUUAUUCUAGAGUAUGGGAGAGGUAGGUGGAAUUCUUGGUGUAGGGGUAAAAUCCGUAGAGAUCAAGAGGAAUACUCGUGGCGAAGGCGACCUGCUAGAACAUAACUGACGCUGAUGCGCGAAAGCGUGGGGAGCAAACAGGAUUAGAUACCCGUGUAGUC